rnacentral:rRNA from 1 species
AACGAACGCUGGCGGCAUGCCUAACACAUGCAAGUCGAACGAGACCUUCGGGUCUAGUGGCGCACGGGUGCGUCACGCGUGGGAACCUGCCCUUAGGCUCGGAAUAACUCCCCGAAAGGGGUGCUAAUACCGGAUAAUGUCUUCGGACCAAAGAUUUAUCGCCUUUGGAUGGGCCCGCGUUGGAUUAGCUAGUUGGUAGGGUAAAAGCCUACCAAGGCGACGAUCCAUAGCUGGUCAGAGAGGAUGAUCAGCCACACUGGGACUGAGACACGGCCCAGACUCCUACGGGAGGCAGCAGUGGGGAAUAUUGGACAAUGGGCGAAAGCCUGAUCCAGCAAGGCCGCGUGAGUGAUGAAGGCCUUAGGGUAGUAAAGCUCUUUUACCCGGGAUGAUAAUGACAGUACCGGGAGAAUAAGCUCCGGCUAACUCCGUG